rnacentral:rRNA from 1 species
CCUGGUUGAUCCUGCCAGUAGUCAUAUGCUUGUCUCAAAGAUUAAGCCAUGCAUGUGUAAGCACACACUGUUUUAAAAGUGAAGCCGCGAAUGGCUCAUUACAACAGCCACAGUUUAUUAGAACUUACAUACAUGGAUAACUGUGGUAAUUCUAGAGCUAAUACACGCACAAAAACUUCAACUGAAUUGGUUGAAGUGCUUUUAUUAGAACAAAAACCGAACGGCGUUCGACUUGUGUUGAACGUCGAAACUCUUUGGUGAAUCUGAAUAACUAUUUCUGAUCGCAUGGUCUAGCACCGGCGACAUCACUUUCAAGUGUCUGCCUUAUCAACCUUCGAUGGUAGUCUAUGCGACUACCAUGGUGAUAACGGGUAACGGAGAAUCAGGGUUCGACUCCGGAGAGGGAGCCUGAGAAACGGCUACCACAUCCAAGGAAGGCAGCAGGCGCGCAAAUUACCCACUCCCAGCUUGGGGAGGUAGUGACGAAAAAUAACGAGACGAUUCUCGUUUGAGAAACGUUAUCGAAAUGAGUACGCUUUACACACGCUAACGAGUAGCAAUUGGAGGGCAAGUCUGGUGCCAGCAGCCGCGGUAAUUCCAGCUCCAAUAGCGUAUAUUAAAGUUGCUGCAGUUAAAAAGCUCGUAGUUGGAUCUUGGGAGCGGGCGGGCGGUCCGCCGCGAGGCGAGUCACCGCCCGUCCCCGCCCCUUGCCUCUCGGCGCCCCCUCGAUGCUCUUAGCUGAGUGUCCCGCGGGGCCCGAAGCGUUUACUUUGAAAAAAUUAGAGUGUUCAAAGCAGGCCCGAGCCGCCUGGAUACCGCAGCUAGGAAUAAUGGAAUAGGACCGCGGUUCUAUUUUGUUGGUUUUCGGAACUGAGGCCAUGAUUAAGAGGGACGGCCGGGGGCAUUCGUAUUGCGCCGCUAGAGGUGAAAUUCUUGGACCGGCGCAAGACGGACCAGAGCGAAAGCAUUUGCCAAGAAUGUUUUCAUUAAUCAAGAACGAAAGUUAGAGGUUCGAAGGCGAUCAGAUACCGCCCUAGUUCUAACGGUAAACUAUGCCAACCAGCGAUUCGCCGAAGUUCAUUUAAGACUCGGCGAGCAGCUUCCGGGAAACCAAAGUGUUUCGGUUCCGGGGGAAGUAUGGUUGCAAAGCUGAAACUUAAAGGAAUUGACGGAAGGGCACCACCAGGAGUGGAGCCUGCGGCUUAAUUUGACCCAACACGGGAAAACUCACCCGGCCCGGACACUGAAAGGAUUGACAGAUUGACAGCUCUUUCUUGAUUCAGUGGGUAGUGGUGCAUGGCCGUUCUUAGUUGGUGGAGCGAUUUGUCUGGUUAAUUCCGAUAACGAACGAGACUCUACCCUAUUAAAUAGUGACAGUAUUGCAUAUUCUGUGCUGAUCACUUCUUAGAGGGACUGGCAAAUUGAAAGCUGCACGAAAAAGAGCAAUAACAGGUCUGUGAUGCCCUUCGAUGUCCGGGGCUGCACGCGCGCUACACUGACUGGCUCAGCGUGUGCCUACCCUACGCCGGCAGGCGCGGGUAACCCGUUGAACCCCAUUCGUGAUGGGGAUCGGGGAUUGCAAUUAUUCCCCAUGAACGAGGAAUUCCCAGUAAGUGCGGGUCAUAAGCUUGCGUUGAUUAAGUCCCUGCCCUUUGUACACACCGCCCGUCGCUACUACCGAUUGGAUGAUUUAGUGAGGUGUUUUGACUAGCGCCUGUAGUCGGAUGUAUAUUCGGCUUCGCGCCGGGAAAUUUCCCAAACCAAAUCAUCUAGAGGAAGUAAAAGUCGUAACAAGGUUUCCGUAGGUGAACCUGCGGAAG